CCCAAACCGGGCUGUUUGUACCCAGUAAAACUGCUGAGCUCUGUUAGAUCGGGGUUUGCACGGUUGUUGUAGUAGGGACGUGUUACCAAAAAUGCCACGGGAAAAAAAAAAAUCCCGCUAAUAUUGUGACAUUUAUCUGGGUCCCCCCCCGUGCUGCGGAUGGGCACGAGCAGCACAGAGCCCUGUGCUCGUUCAUUUUCCUUGUGCUGCAAGGAGGCCCGAAGUGCUCUGCAAAGAGGAAUCCCGCUGCACUCGCUCUGCUCAGA